UAGUGGACGAGAUCAACAAGAUUGCUUCAAUAGCACUGAGCCUGAAUGUUCCUGGGCAAAUUUUUAUGAUAUUGAAGAAAGUCCAUCCCCGAGUCUUUGCGAGCACGCAUGAUUACAGAUGGUUAAAAGGUUGCCAAAAUGUCGCGUGUUAUUUCAUAGUAGCUAUGUAAUCUUUCCCCCAAAUAUGUCUGCACCAAGAGUAAUUGAGGCAGCGAAAAGAGGCGCCAAAGCUCCAGAUUUUUUCUACUGCCUCAAGUUUCUGGAAGCAACUAGAGUUUUCACUGUUCUGGGAUCUGGUUUUGUCAAAAGGAGGAAGACUUCCCUGACAUGAUGUUGAGCUUCAAGAAUUUCAAUGACUCAUUCAUGGAGCAAUAUGAGGGCUACUCUAGAAUGUAAAAAAGAACACACAACAUAGAAGACCCGGCUGUCAGAUUCUCCAUUUCAGUAUCAAUGCUAUCGAGCAUUUCCAAGGACAUUAAUUGAAAAUUAGUUGUAGCUCGUUUAAAUGACACGACGCGACUCGGCUGCCAAGUUUUGUGUCUCAAGUGAGGCGCCUGUGCUUCCCGAUCGGUAGCUAGCAAAAGAUUUUUUUAGAUUAAGGAUAAAAAUCCGGCCUGCUAUAUCCACAUGGUGGACAUAUACAGCUAAAGGUUUCAAAGAGUUUUUAGACUCUAGUCCUCACCAAUGAGAAGCUCAAAACACAAGAAAGAAAACUCUAAGACAGAGGAAAAACUAGAAGGCUAAGCUUCAUUCUUCUUCUUCGUCCAUGCUUUGUCCUUGCGUUGUCUUCAUGCUCAUCAAGCUAUCACAUCAUUCGUCUGCUUAGAAACUUGAUGUUGGACUUGGUAUACUUGUCUUCUAUCGCUCGCACAACAAACUCCACCUUAGGUAAUUAGGGUCAAGCCAAAAGACUUCCACCGCGACGCCUCCAAGAAGGAAACGACAUCGAAGACGCCAUCACCGUCCAUCCGGCAAGCCGGAUUAAGGUUUUCACCUAGAAGACCAAUAACAUUGCAGAGAGCAUCACAGCAAACACCUCAACGGAGGGAAACAACGCCCAAUCGACGCCGGAUGCUGACUCGAUCAAACAUGUAAGGCUUUCGCCCGUAACUCCUGCACGACCUCAUCAUCACCCCAACCAGGAAUCUGCGACAUUCUUGUGGCCAAACCUGCCUGGUCGCUCCGCAUAGUGGAGUCAACACCACCAGGAGGAGGCACCGAAGACGCGUAGGCUGCCGUGCACCAUUCGCGGACGCCGGUCACUACCGAGCAGGGGCCACUCAGGGCUGCCGCCGUCACAGCCAGUAGAUCGAGGACGCAGGCCACAAGAGCAUGGCGCAACAAGACAACUCCUCCACCGAACACGACCAACGCCCAGCUGCCAUCGCUGUCAUCGUCAAUGCCAUCUACGCCAUACCUAGUCUGAUGCGCUGCCAUGUCUGGGUCGCAUUCCAGCUGUCGCCGACACGGUAUGCAGCAGGCUGCCGCCUCUUGCCGACGCCGAUGCGGUGCUACCGCCCAAACAGCGGGCCACUGCCUCGGGCCGACGCCGUCAUGGUACCGUCGCCCCACGGCAGGCCGUCGCCUCUAUCCAUUUCCAAACGCAGGCCGCCGCUGCCACGGGCCACCGCCGUCACCGCCACCGGCCACACCACUGCAAAUUUAGGCAUCUAGCCCCCGCAAGCACCCACCAUGGCUCCACCAGGGAAGUCCGAAAUCGGUUUAGGGGACACCGGAUCCUGGCCCGCCGAUGCCGGAUCUAGGCACCACCACAAGUGCGGCCGCCACCGGCGAACCGCCACAGUAGCAGGAGAUUAAGGAUAGGGUGGGAGAAGUUGUGGAGGAGGAAGAGGUUUUUUCACGGGGAAUUUGAUGUGCCCACCGCCACCCUCGUCGUGGCCAGGCGGACUUCCACCGGCAGGCUCCGGCAGCGGCGAGAUGGAGGGGGAGGAGGGUGCGGUGCUAGAAGGUUGGAGGAGGCACCGCCCGAGUCGCCCUAGGGCGACGCGUGGGCCAGGAGCUGAAAAGACGCCUCUCUCUUCCAGCUAACAAAAGAUGGCUGUCUGGGCAUGGGUACAUUUCAACGGAAGAGGAUAAGUUGGUUGAACCUGUCGAUAAACAUAAGUCUAUAACAUGGCAAUACGAGUGUAUAUCAUGCACAUUGCCUUGGAAUGUUAAGUUAGUGGAAAACAUAGGCGAUGUCCUCUGAUCGCUUGGUAUAUAUCGUGCUACAAAAGAUUCUGAUGGCGAGUGCA